CCCACACCCACCCACGCCUAUCCCGUUCCCCACCCCCUUCCUCAGCAGAUCCACCGCCGCCGCCUGCAAGGGCCCGUGCCCCUCCACGCCCGCGCUACCGCAAGCCCCCGCCCCCGCUGCCAGCCCUCGCCGCGAUGACAGCGCAGCUCCUCGCCUUCGUCGCCGAGGCCGUCGGCGAGGAGGACCGCCCCGCGGACCUCCCCGAGGAGCUCCUCGUCCUCGUCUUCGGCCCGCUUGGCUCCGACAACCGCAAGCCUUGCUCCCUCAUCUGCUGUCGCUGGCUCAACGUCGAGGCCGCCUCCCACGCCCGGGCGCCGCUCCUUUGUCUUCUCCACUAGUGCGGCCACCGCCCCUUGCUCCUUUGCCACUACCGCAAUUUCCUCUUCUGCGUCCACCCCCUUCCUCUCCUUUUCAUUCCUCUCUCAGAUCUAGAUCCACGGUGGCUGGCAAAGGUGGGUGACUACAAGCUGCGGGAGUGCCACAGCGGGCAUCCACCGUCCACGGCCGCGUGGCGAGCAGUGUUGAGGUCCACGGUCGCGCUUGUGGAUGUGAAGUAGGUGCGGCUCGCCGGCCUCCACACCACGCCAGCUCUUUCCCCUUCUUCCCUUCACACCGCUCUCUCCCUCCCCUCGCCCCUCCUCAGAUGCACCGCCUGCCGUUGCUCAGAUCCACCGCCUACUGCUGCUCAGAUCCACACACCGCUCCUCUCCCUAGCUAGCUCGAGGGCCACCUCCGCAUCCUCCUCCUCUCCCUCAUCCAGGUGCCUCGCAUCCACAGCUACUUCGAGCCCUAUGAAACGUGGUAGGAGGCAGCGGGACGGCAGCCACACGAGCAGGCAUUGGGGAUGGUGUGCGGCGCAGCGACGGCCGUGAUUUAUUUGUUGGCUCUGUUCCACCGCGCAUAGGCAAACCAGCAUUGGUGCGUGAUGCAUGGAGGCAGCUUCUCGAGUGCUGCAGUGAAGGCCCACUCGCUCCCCUUCAGCCACAGAUGCAGAAACUGGAGAUGGGAGAGAGGAGCUUCUUCAGCAUAGAGCGGCGGACGACGGAGGGGAUUAGACUACUGGUGAAGCAGUCGUCUCUACAAAGGAGGGUGAGUGGCGAGUGGCGGGCUUCGCGGCGCCGCUGGGCAGCGCGGGCAGACCCACCUGGGUCGCUCAUGAUUUGUGGGCUUGUGACACGGGUUACGCGGGUUUGCGGCGCGAGUUUAAUCAGCAGAACACGCUCACACAAAACUGAUGAUGGAGCCAGUCCAAGCCUUUUUGCUUCUAGAGGAUUAGGUCUGAGCACUGGUUUUUAUUGUCUGAUGUUUAGACGGUAAAACUGCUUUUGUAUAUGUUGUAAUUUGCUUGUAGUUAUUCAAAACUUUGCUUAUAUGUAACUGCUGAGUUGUAUUACCUGUAUUAGAAAGGUAGAAACCUCCAGAAGCAAGAGGGUAGUGGCGUGGGUUUGAAUCUAACGGGAAACAUACUAUUUUACUACUAUAAUUACUUAAUUAGUGUCGGGUCAGCUUUUGUUGUACUAAUCGAGAUGUUGUAUUAAAUAUAGAAAAUAAUUAUUUCUAUACCUGCACCUUUCCUAA